rnacentral:rRNA from 1 species
UACGGAGGGUGCAAACGUUGCUCGGAAUCAUUGGGCGUAAAGCGCACGUAGGCGGCCUGUUAAGUCGGGUGUGAAAGCCCUGGGCUCAACCCAGGAAGUGCACUCGAAACUGGCGGGCUUGAAUAUGGAAGAGGGUCGCGGAAUUCCCGGUGUAGAGGUGAAAUUCGUAGAUAUCGGAGGAACACCAGUGGCGAAGGCGGCGACCUGGGCCGAUACUGACGCUGAGGAGCGAAAGCGUGGGGAGCGAACAGG